GUAGCCUUGCGCACUUGAGGUUCGCAGGCUGCCUGCUUGAUGGGCGCCGGCGCUAAGAAGGGAAUGCGGUCACAUGCCGCAGCUGCCCCCGCAACUGUAAACGGACAGCGUCAUUGCACAGCCACUGCGCGAGCGGGAAGGCGCGAUGAAUAGCCGUCGCCGAUCACAGCAUCAGCGAACGGCCGCCGUGAGCCAGGAGACCUGCCUCGAAUCGGACUGCCUG
rnacentral:ncRNA from 1 species